rfam:Schistosoma haematobium scaffold292_12, whole genome shotgun sequence.
CUUCGGCUGACGAGUCCCAAAUAGGACGAACCUCUUAUCCUGGAU